AACUAUCAAAUGAUUAAUAUCAAAUGAUUACUUAUCAAAGUUCAAGAACGAAAAUCAGAAAGAGAAAAAAUCUGGAAAAGGACACAUGAAACAAAUACAAAGCAACAAACUUGCCCCGUGAACCUGACAGAGAAUCAAUGUUAGGAUUAACUUCAAAUAACUAAUUAUCAAAUCAUUAAUUGUCAAAGUCAAAUCUGUUACCAAGAAACAAGGUCUCAUCCAGCAUC
rnacentral:lncRNA from 1 species